UACGGGGGGGGCAAGCGUUGUCCGGAUUUACUGGGCGUAAAGGGCGUGCAGGCGGCCACCGCAAGUCGACUGUGAAAUCUCCGGGCUUAACUCGGAAAGGUCAGCCGAUACUGCGGGGCUAGAGUGCAGAAGGGGCAACUGGAAUUCUCGGUGUAGCGGUGAAAUGCGUAGAUAUCGAGAGGAACACCUGCGGCGAAGGCGGGUUGCUGGGCUGACACUGACGCUGAUUGUGCGAAAGCUAGGGGAGCGAACGGG
rnacentral:rRNA from 1 species